CGCUGGCGGCAGGCUUAACACAUGCAAGUCGAGCGGUAACAGGGGGAGCUUGCUCCCCGCUGACGAGCGGCGGACGGGUGAGUAAUGCAUAGGAAACUGCCCAGUAGUGGGGGAUAGCCCGGGGAAACCCGGAUUAAUACCGCAUACGCCCUUUGGGGGAAAGCAGGGGAUCUUCGGACCUUGUGCUGAUGGAUGAGCUCGCGUCGGAUUAGCU
rnacentral:rRNA from 18 species